CUGCCAAAACCUUUUGUUGACAUGAGCAAUGGUGACAUAUUUCUGUUUGCAUAACUCACAGGUUACUGAUCCAGAUUUCUUUAUCCAGUGGAGCAAGCAAGAUGUGUGUGCUAAACCAACUGAACCUUUACAUUGACAAUGCGAAAAGAGGUCUCCGUUCUUAUCAGUUUCACGACAAAUACGGCACAAGUGUUCAUUUGAAAGUGACACAAUCGAGGAUGAUGUACUACAAUCACCACCAGAGCAGACAUCUAGAUACUUAGAAGUGUUCAUGACUGGCAUUAUAUGUUUCUC